rnacentral:sRNA from 1 species
AUUCUACCCAUGCGGGGAAGGAUGAGAAGCUUCGACUAAGGUUCGAUUCGAGCGCAGCGAGAAAGC